rnacentral:rRNA from 1 species
ACGGAAGGCAGCAGUGGGGAAUAUUGGGCAAUGGGCGAAAGCCUGACCCAGCAACGCCGCGUGAGGGAAGAAGGUUCUCGGAUUGUAAACCUCUGUCCUAAGAGAAAAGGGGAAGAUGGUAUCUUAGGAGGAAGCCCCGGCUAACUACGUGCCAGCAGCCGCGGUAAUACGUAGGGAGCAAGCGUUAUCCGGAUUCACUGGGUGUAAAGGGCGUGUAGGCGGGACAUCAAGUCAGAUGUGAAAGCACGAGGCUCAACUUCGUGUCUGCAUUUGAAACUGACGUUCUUGAGUGUUGGAGAGGCUAACGGAACUCCUAGUGUAGCGGUGAAAUGCGUAGAUAUUAGGAAGAACACCAGUGGCGAAGGCGGUUAGCUGGACAAUAACUGACGCUGAGGCGCGAAAGCGUGGGUAGCAAACAGGAUUAGAUACCCUGGUA